AUACUUACCUGGCGCCGACCGUCCUCUGAUCAAGCAGAGAGGUGGUGGUCCAGGGCGAGGCCUCUGCAUUGCACUGCGCGGAGGUUGACCCCUGCGAUUUCUCCAAGUGAGAAACUCGGACGCACAAUUUAUUAGUGUGGGGACUGCGUUCGCGCUCUCCCUGA